rnacentral:SRP_RNA from 1 species
GCUGGGUGUGGUGGUGCACGCCUGUAAUCCCAGCUACUCAGGAGGCUGAGGCAGAAGAAUCACUUGAACUCGGGAGGCAGAGGUUGCAGUGAGCCAAGAUUGCGCCACUGCACUCCAGCCUGGGUGACAGAAUGAGACUCUGUCUCAA